UACGUAGGGUCCGAGCGUUGUCCGGAAUUAUUGGGCGUAAAGAGCUCGUAGGCGGUCUGUCGCGUCGGCUGUGAAAACUCGGGGCUCAACCCCGAGCCUGCAGUCGAUACGGGCAGACUAGAGUGCUGUAGGGGAGACUGGAAUUCCUGGUGUAGCGGUGAAAUGCGCAGAUAUCAGGAGGAACACCGAUGGCGAAGGCAGGUCUCUGGGCAUUAACUGACGCUGAGGAGCGAAAGCAUGGGGAGCGAACAGG
rnacentral:rRNA from 1 species